rnacentral:rRNA from 1 species
ACGCACGCUGGCGGCAUGCCUAACACCUGCAAGUCGAACGAGACCUUCGGGUCUAGUGGCGCACGGGUGCGUAACGCGUGGGAACCUGCCCUUAGGUUCGGAAUAACUCCCCGAAAGGGGUGCUAAUACCGGAUAAUGUCUUCGGACCAAAGAUUUAUCGCCUUUGGAUGGGCCCGCGUUGGAUUAGCUAGUUGGUAGGGUAAAAGCCUACCAAGGCGACGAUCCAUAGCUGGUCUGAGAGGAUGAUCAGCCACACUGGGACUGAGACACGGCCCAGACUCCUACGGGAGGCAGCAGUGGGUAAUAUUGGACGAUGGGCGAAAGCCUGAUCCAGCAAUGCCGCGUGAGUGAUGAAGGCCUUAGGGUUGUAAAGCUCUUUUACCCGGGAUGAUAAUGACAGUACCGGGAGAAUAAGCUCCGGCUAACUCCGUG